rnacentral:rRNA from 1 species
CCUACGGGAGGCUGCAGUGGGGAAUAUUGCACAAUGGGGGAAACCCUGAUGCAGCGACGCCGCGUGCGUGAAGAAGUAAUUCGUUAUGUAAAGCUCUAUCAGCAGGGAAGAAAAUGACGGUACCUGAGUAAGAAGCACCGGCGAACUACGUGCCAGCAGCCGCGGUAAUACGUAGGGGGCAAGCGUUAUCCGGAUUUACUGGGUGUAAAGGGAGCGUAGACGGCAGUGCAAGUCUGGAGUGAAAGGCGGGGGCUCAACCCCCGAACUGCUCUGGAAACUGUACGGCUGGAGUGCUGGAGAGGCAAGCGGAAUGCCGGGUGUAGCGGUGAAAUGCGUAGAGAUACGGAGGAACACCAGUGGCGAAGGCGGAUUGCUGGACAGUAACUGACGCUGAGGCGCGAAAGCGUGGGGAGCAAACAGGAUUAGAUACCCGUGUAGUC